rnacentral:lncRNA from 1 species
AUUGGGGUUCCUGGAGAGGAGGCCCCCUCUCCCUAGGUGGGGGCUCCUGUUUCCCCUGCUCUGCUCUCUGAGGUCCCCAGGGUCCAGUCCCCUCCCCACCCUAUCCUGAAGCUUGUCAAGGCCACCAGAGACCUGCUCCCUGUGCCGUCUCAGACUGGACUCUGGGGUCUCCUGUGCCUCCUCCGAUUCUGCACCUCAGUGCAGCCUCUGGCCUGGCUGCACUCUGAGGAGCUCCCUGUGGCCACCGAGCCCUUGGAACGUGGCCAGUUCCAUUCUCAAACUGCUGUGAGUGCAAAGCUCAUGCUGGAUUUUGAAGAUUUGCACCUGGCCUGUCUUCUUCCUUCCUAAGGUCUCACUCUGUCACCCAGGCUGAAGUGCAGUGGCACCAUCAUAGAUCACUGCAGCCUCCACCUCCUGGGCUCAAGCGAUCCUCCUGCCUCAGCCUCCCGAGUAGCUAGAACUCUCAAGUAACACACACAUUAGCAUGC